rnacentral:rRNA from 1 species
AUGGUUCAUGUAAAAAGCCGGAUGGAUUUACUCCUGCCACCUCACGGUCAACUAACUGCCGCAAUUGCCCCCUACAGACCCACCCUAUUAAGUUGUAGAUGCCCACGACUCAAUUGGCACCAAAGAUCUGCUCGAGGAUCGUCAGUUUCGUCCUCCGAUAAUCAUCAACCUUCACGGUGGUCAGAAUUUGAAGCCUCCAUUGCCGACGCCCAUUGCUUGCUGGUGAUGCACGUGUUGGCAAGAACACACCUGCAUCCCCGGUAUUGCCUCCCCACUCUGUACCAGGUUGGUGUUCCGUAA